rnacentral:rRNA from 1 species
UACGUAGGUGGCAAGCGUUAUCCGGAAUUAUUGGGCGUAAAGCGCGCGCAGGUGGUUUCUUAAGUCUGAUGUGAAAGCCCACGGCUCAACCGUGGAGGGUCAUUGGAAACUGGGAGACUUGAGUGCAGAAGAGGAAAGUGGAAUUCCAUGUGUAGCGGUGAAAUGCGUAGAUAUCUGGAGGAACACCGGUGGCGAAGGCGGCGUUCUGGACUGCAACUGACACUGAAAAACGAAAGCCAGGGGAGCAAACGGG